rnacentral:lncRNA from 1 species
GUGUAGCGAGUGUAGAGUGGGGCUAGUUUAUUGCUACGCGUGGCAGGGUGGGGCAUUCUCUAAGUAGGGCGGGGCUGGGUAGGGUGCGACAGAGCCUUAGGUUUUUAAAACUAUGGUGGUGUGGUGAUGGAAUCACUAAUAUUAUUGGAAGAAGGUUUGGGUCAGGAAAGUUGGGUUGGUAGCCUCUCUAUGUUUGUUUUUGGUUUCUUGGUAUCCAUUGG